GACGAACGCUGGCGGCGUGCUUAGCGCAUGCAAGUCGAGCGGUAAGGCCUUUCGGGGUACACGAGCGGCGAACGGGUGAGUAACACGUGGGUGAUCUGCCCUGCACUUCGGGAUAAGCCUGGGAAACUGGGUCUAAUACCGGAUAUGACCUCCUAUCGCAUGGUGGGUGGUGGAAAGAUUUAUCGGUGCAGGAUGGGCCCGCGGCCUAUCAGCUUGUUGGUGGGGUAAUGGCCUACCAAGGCGACGACGGGUAGCCGACCUGAGAGGGUGACCGGCCACACUGGGACUGAGACACGGCCCAGACUCCUACGGGAGGCAGCAGUGGGGAAUAUUGCACAAUGGGCGAAAGCCUGAUGCAGCGACGCCGCGUGAGGGAUGACGGCCUUCGGGUUGUAAACCUCUUUCAGCAGGGACGAAGCGCAAGUGACGGUACCUGCAGAAGAAGCACCGGCUAACUACGUG
rnacentral:rRNA from 1 species